rnacentral:rRNA from 1 species
UACGUAGGGUGCGAGCGUUAAUCGGAAUUACUGGGCGUAAAGCGUGCGCAGGCGGUUAUGUAAGACAGUUGUGAAAUCCCCGGGCUCAACCUGGGAAUUGCAUCUGUGACUGCAUAGCUAGAGUACGGUAGAGGGGGAUGGAAUUCCGCGUGUAGCAGUGAAAUGCGUAGAUAUGCGGAGGAACACCGAUGGCGAAGGCAAUCCCCCUUGGACCUGUACUGACGCUCAUGCACGAAAAGCGUGGGGAGCAAACAGG